rnacentral:rRNA from 1 species
GAUGAACGCUGGCGGCGUGCCUAAUACAUGCAAGUCGAGCGAACAGACGAGGAGCUUGCUCCUUUGACGUUAGCGGCUGACGGGUGAGUAACACGUAGGUAACCUACCUAUAAGACUGGGAUAACUUCGGGAAACCGGAUCUAAUACCGGCUAAUAUUUCGAACCGCAUGGUUCGAUAGUGAAAGAUGGCUUUGCUAUCACUUAUAGAUGGACCUGCGCCGGAUUAGCUAGUUGGUAAGGUAACGGCUUACUAAGGCAACGAUACGUAGCCGACCUGAGAGGGUGAUCGGCCACACUGGAACUGAGACACGGUCCAGACUCCUACGGGAGGCAGCAGUAGGGAAUAUUCCGCAAUGGGCGAAAGCCUGACGGAGCAACGCCGCGUGAGUGAUGAAGGUCUUCGGAUCGUAAAACUCUGUUAUUAGGGAAGAACAAACGUGUAAGUAAAUGUGCACGUCUUGACGGUACCUAAUCAGAAAGCCACGGCUAACUACGUG